rnacentral:rRNA from 1 species
GACGAACGCUGGCGGCGCGCCUAACACAUGCAAGUCGAACGAGAGAUGAAGAGCUUGCUCUUCAGAUCGAGUGGCGAACGGGUGAGUAACGCGUGAGGAACCUGCCUCAAAGAGGGGGACAACAGUUGGAAACGACUGCUAAUACCGCAUAAGCCCACGGCUCGGCAUCGAGCAGAGGGAAAAGGAGUGAUCCGCUUUGAGAUGGCCUCGCGUCCGAUUAGCUAGUUGGUGAGGUAACGGCCCACCAAGGCGACGAUCGGUAGCCGGACUGAGAGGUUGACCGGCCACAUUGGGACUGAGAUACGGCCCAGACUCCUACGGGAGGCAGCAGUGGGGAAUAUUGGGGCAAUGGGCGCAAGCCUGACCCAGCAACGCCGCGUGAAGGAAGAAGGCUUUCGGGUGUAAACUUCUUUUGUCAGGGACGAGUAGAAGACGGUACCUGACGAAUAAGCCACGGCUAACUACGUG